GUCAAGAACAGACAGAGUCGCUUGAGGACUCAGGAGGGUGUUUGCUGCGUUGACAACAGACUACACCCUCACAGUUUGCUCUGCUCUUCCAACACCAGUGGAAGAUGAUCACAUCCCAGGUAAGUUGUUUAUUUUUUCACCGUUUUGCUUAAAAGUAAUUAUUGAGGUUUAAAAAAUGUCUAUACAUUCAUAUGAAAGUAGAAAUAACAUCAGGGAAAAUAUAGAGGAGAGGUCACAUUACAUUUCAUGGGUCAAAUGCAGCCUGCCGCAUGUUUUUUUAUGGUCCACAAACGAAGGAUGGUUUUUAUAUUUUUAGGUGGCUGAGGGAAAAAAAACAAGAAUUAUAUGAAAUUCAGAUUUCAUUAUAUAUAAAGUUUUAUUGGGACUCAGCUAUACUCAUGUAUUUAUGUGUUGUCUGUUGGUACUUUCAUACUAUGAGGGCAGAGUUGACUGGUUGCAGCAGAGACUGUAAUGGCCCACAAGCCUAAAAUAUUUACUGUGAGACCCUUUACAGAAAAUGUUUGCUGAUUUCUGAUAAAGAGUUGAUGAAGAGUAAAACAAAAAUGUCAUGUAAGUGAAUGCAGAUCUUGUGAUCUCACAGAGUUGUGAAACUGGAACAUAAAACAGUUUGUCAAUGGGCUUUAUUAGGUGACACUGUGAAACUUCUGAUGACAAUCUUGCAGUUACAUGAAAAAGUAGUACAACGAAGUGAAUAAUUCAUGUGCAGUCCAGGGGAAAACUUAAGCGAUAUCAAGAGAAAGUAUGUGAUUAAAAAAUUCAAAUAGGCCGGGCUAGGUGGCUCAUGCCUAUAAUCCCAACACUUUGGGAGGGCGAGGUGGGUGGAUCAUGAGGUCAGGAGUCCGAGACCAGCCUGACCAACAUGGUGAAACCCCGUCUCUACUAAAAAUACAAAAAUUAGCUUGGCAUGUUGGCGUGCACCUGUAAUCCCAGCUAGUCAGGAGGCUGAGGCAGGAGAAUCGCUUGAACCCAGGAGGCGGAGGGUGCAGUGAGCCGAGAUUGAGAUUGCACCACUGCACUCCAGCCUGGGUGACAGAGUGAGACUCUGUCUC
rnacentral:lncRNA from 1 species